rnacentral:snoRNA from 15 species
AUCUGUUGUGAUGAAUACAUUUUAAAUUCUUGAUAGGAAGAGUAUGAAACAUAAUGAGUACCAAAAACCUAGCUGAAUUGGU